UUAUCGGAGAGUUUGAUCCUGGCUCAGGACGAACGCUGGCGGCGUGCCUAAUACAUGCAAGUCGAGCGGACAGAUGGGAGCUUGCUCCCUGAUGUUAGCGGCGGACGGGUGAGUAACACGUGGGUAACCUGCCUGUAAGACUGGGAUAACUCCGGGAAACCGGGGCUAAUACCGGAUGGUUGUUUGAACCGCAUGGUUCAGACAUAAAAGGUGGCUUCGGCUACCACUUACAGAUGGACCCGCGGCGCAUUAGCUAGUUGGUGAGGUAACGGCUCACCAAGGCAACGAUGCGUAGCCGACCUGAGAGGGUGAUCGGCCACACUGGGACUGAGACACGGCCAGACUCCUACGGGAGGCAGCAGUAGGGAAUCUUCCGCAAUGGACGAAAGUCUGACGGAGCAACGCCGCGUGAGUGAUGAAGGUUUUCGGAUCGUAAAGCUCUGUUGUUAGGGAAGAACAAGUGCCGUUCAAAUAGGGCGGCACCUUGACGGUACCUAACCAGAAAGCCACGGCUAACUACGUGCCAGCAGCCGCGGUAAUACGUAGGUGGCAAGCGUUGUCCGGAAUUAUUGGGCGUAAAGGGCUCGCAGGCGGUUUCUUAAGUCUGAUGUGAAAGCCCCCGGCUCAACCGGGGAGGGUCAUUGGAAACUGGGGAACUUGAGUGCAGAAGAGGAGAGUGGAAUUCCACGUGUAGCGGUGAAAUGCGUAGAGAUGUGGAGGAACACCAGUGGCGAAGGCGACUCUCUGGUCUGUAACUGACGCUGAGGAGCGAAAGCGUGGGGAGCGAACAGGAUUAGAUACCCUGGUAGUCCACGCCGUAAACGAUGAGUGCUAAGUGUUAGGGGGUUUCCGCCCCUUAGUGCUGCAGCUAACGCAUUAAGCACUCCGCCUGGGGAGUACGGUCGCAAGACUGAAACUCAAAGGAAUUGACGGGGCCCGCACAAGCGGUGGAGCAUGUGGUUUAAUUCGAAGCAACGCGAAGAACCUUACCAGGUCUUGACAUCCUCUGGCAAUCCUAGAGAUAGGACGUCCCCUUCGGGGGCAGAGUGACAGGUGGUGCAUGGUUGUCGUCAGCUCGUGUCGUGAGAUGUUGGGUUAAGUCCCGCAACGAGCGCAACCCUUGAUCUUAGUUGCCAGCAUUCAGUUGGGCACUCUAAGGUGACUGCCGGUGACAAACCGGAGGAAGGUGGGGAUGACGUCAAAUCAUCAUGCCCCUUAUGACCUGGGCUACACACGUGCUACAAUGGACAGAACAAAGGGCAGCGAAACCGCGAGGUUAAGCCAAUCCCACAAAUCUGUUCUCAGUUCGGAUCGCAGUCUGCAACUCGACUGCGUGAAGCUGGAAUCGCUAGUAAUCGCGGAUCAGCAUGCCGCGGUGAAUACGUUCCCGAGCCUUGUACACACCGCCCGUCACACCACGAGAGUUUGUAACACCCGAAGUCGGUGAGGUAACCUUUAUGGAGCCAGCCGCCGAAGGUGGGACAGAUGAUUGGGGUGAAGUCGUAACAAGGUAGCCGUAUCGGAAGGUGCGGCUGGAUCACCUCCUUU
rnacentral:rRNA from 1 species